rnacentral:lncRNA from 1 species
AAGGGAGGGGGGGGUAAUAGUCAUAUACCAUCCUGGUGGUUUCCUAUGGCGCAGUUAAAAGGAAAUGCCCUCCACUUUGACAGGAAGUACUUUCAAUGUCACCUAGCUACCUAAUAGACGAAUGUAAAUCUCUGGAUAUUCUGCUAGCGAUACUGGCUAGGUGUGGGGAAUCAUUGAAUUAGGACGGGGGGGGGGUCUCCAACCUCUGAUCAGCUUUUUGGAGAGGAGACAUGACAGGUUACCAGCUCAAUGUUGAUUUCUAGUUUUCAAAUGGGCAACAUCUCCACUGCAACUCUCUGGGUCCUAAAUUCAGUCCAACUCUCUUCUGGGUCUUAAAUUCACUCUCUACGGUACACUUCUGUCAAAAUGACGGUUAAACUAAGUAGGCCUUAUUUGUAAUUCAGUGUUCUGGAUUUAUUUUUCACUCCAACUCCAACCUUGGGUUUUUGAAGAACAAGACUUGUGUAAUUAUCCUUUGACUAUUUCCUGUUCUGGACAUGAUGCUUCUCUACUGUUGCUCUUUAAAUGGCAAAGUUUCAAAUGGAUACAGGUGAUAUUUCUGCCAGGUAAGUGAACUUAACGGUUAAUAUUAAAUUGGUAAGUGCGUCGACACAAAGGUUUGGCGUGUUGAUUAGCUGGGAGUUUGAGAUUUAAUGACGAUGUGAAAAGUGCAUGUACUUUACAGAAUUUUUUUUUUUUUUUUUUUGGUGGAGCUACUCGGGUUGGGCAUGUUAAAUCAGUUUCUGGACCACAGGUACUAGAACAGCUUCUAUACCAGUUCUAUCUGCCUGUUAAAUCAGUUUCUGGACCACCGGUUCUAGAACAGCUUCUAUCCCAGUUCUAUCUGCCUGUUAAAUCAGUUUCUGGACCACAGGUUCUAGAACAGCUUCUAUCCCAGUUCUAUCUGCCUGUUAAAUCAGUUUCUGGACCACAGGUUCUAGAACAGCUUCUAUCCCAGUUCUAUCUGCCUGUUAAAUCAGUUUCUGGACCACAGGUUCUAGAACAGCUUCUAUCCCAGUUCUAUCUGCCUGUUAAAUCAGUUUCUGGACCACAGGUUCUAGAACAGCUUCUAUCCCAGUUCUAUCUGCCUGUUAAAUCAGUUUCUGGACCACAGGUUCUAGAACAGCUUCUAUCCCAGUUCUAUCUGCCUGUUAAAUCAGAUUAACUGGAGACUCCUGCAUAUCAAAUGUUUUUUUAUAGCAAAGUACAUGUGUGAGUCAAUAUAUAGGACUAUUAUUCAACCCCCCCC